rnacentral:rRNA from 1 species
GAUGAACGCUGGCGGCGUGCCUAAUACAUGCAAGUAGAACGCUGAAGGAAGGAGCUUGCUCUUUCCGGAUGAGUUGCGAACGGGUGAGUAACGCGUAGGUAACCUGCCUGGUAGCGGGGGAUAACUAUUGGAAACGAUAGCUAAUACCGCAUAACAGUAGAUGUUGCAUGAUAUCUACUUAAAAGGUGCAAUUGCACCACUACCAGAUGGACCUGCGUUGUAUUAGCUAGUUGGUGAGGUAAUGGCUCACCAAGGCGACGAUACAUAGCCGACCUGAGAGGGUGAUCGGCCACACUGGGACUGAGACACGGCCCAGACUCCUACGGGAGGCAGCAGUAGGGAAUCUUCGGCAAUGGACGGAAGUCUGACCGAGCAACGCCGCGUGAGUGAAGAAGGUUUUCGGAUCGUAAAGCUCUGUUGUAAGAGAAGAACGAGUGUGAGAGUGGAAAGUUCACACUGUGACGGUAUCUUACCAGAAAGGGACGGCUAACUACGUG